AGGGCCAUAGCUCAGUGGCAGAGCAUCUGUCUUGCAUUCAGAAGGUCCCCGGUUCAAUCCCCGGUGUCUCAA